UCUGAUAUGGCGACACUCGUCUUAAGGAGCUAGAAGAUAAAGCACAGGAACUGUAUUUUGCAACAGAAAAUACCUUGGUGUUGGUGGAAAAGCUAGGCAAACUUGUUGCUAUAUAUAUGGGGGGCACUUUUCCAGUGGAGCAAGGUGAUCUGCACGUGCGCUGGAAAUUGGUUAGCCAGAGAUUGAGGGAUUUUCAGAAAUGCAUUGUGCUUCCCAUUGGCAGCCUCUCUACAGGACUGUGUAGGCAUCGCGCUAUUCUUUUCAAGAAAUUGGCAGACUACAUAGGUCUGCCUUGCCGAAUAGCUCGAGGUUGAAAGUACUGUGUUGCAGACCAUCG